AGUGAGUUCCCAUGGCAACACUGAUGUCUUUAGACCACCCAUGUGGAAGCCUGCAGCUGAUGUCACAAUGGGUUCCCAUGGCAACACUGAUGUCACAAUACCAGCUGUGUGUGCGUAACCGUUACAACUUGGGGAAACACUUCAGAUUGCUUUUUAGAGCAGAAACGUAACGACCAUCUACCACAAUGGCGCCCAGAUUCUGUGAUUGUAUCCUGGACUGUGUGAGAGGUGUCUGCGCACCGUUCAGGUACAAGAAGAAGAAGCCUGGAAAGUUUGCCCAUAUGGAGACGGUCGUUUACGUGGCAAAGGACGAAUCCAUAACUUUUCUCCCAACGGGGACUAGUUAUUAGGAUUCGUAGGUAAGUAGUUAGGUAAGUAAUUAGGUUAGGUUU